GGCUUAUGGCAGUGGUGUUUACAACUAACUGAUCACAAGCAGUUACAGAUUCCUUUGUUGCUUCUCCACUCCCACUGCUUCACUUGACCAGCCUUUA
rnacentral:Y_RNA from 1 species